UACGUAGGGGGCAAGCGUUGUCCGGAAUUAUUGGGCGUAAAGAGCGUGUAGGCGGUCCGGUAAGUCAGCUGUGAAAGUCAAGGGCUCAACCCUUGAAUGCCGGUUGAUACUGUCGGGCUAGAGUCCGGAAGAGGCGAGUGGAACUCCUGGUGUAGCGGUGGAAUGCGCAGAUAUCAGGAAGAACACCAACGGCGAAGGCAGCUCGCUGGGACGGUACUGACGCUGAGACGCGAAAGCGUGGGGAGCGAACAGG
rnacentral:rRNA from 1 species